rnacentral:tRNA from 1 species
UCGGAUAUGGUCUAGAGGUUAGGAUCGCUCGCUUUCACCGAGCUGGCCCGGGUUCGAUUCCCGGUAUCCGAA